rnacentral:lncRNA from 1 species
UCAGAAAACAAAGCAUACUGACACAUAGUGCUCUACUUCCCAUCCACUUGAGUUCUAAGAGCAAUUUCCCCACUCCCAAGUUGGGCCAGUAAAGAUUACAUGAAAACUGGCACACCUAUUGGCUGGAAUACAGAUGCACCAAAUGAGGAUUUAAAAACUUUCCGAGCGAAAAGUAGAACAAAAAGAAAAAAGAAUCUCCUAGCAUUUUCCCCCAAGGUUUCACUCUCCCGCCACACACACUCUCCAAAGGACCGCUACAGAUCCAACUCUGCAAGAGAAGACAGAGCAGUGUCAAUCAGGAAGCCAUGAGGACACCAGGAGGAGGUUUUCAGUCUCGACACGCAGAAGACAGAGCUGCCCAGCCCUGGGGUCCUGAAGCCAGCACUCA